AUUGAACGCUGGCGGCAGGCCUAACACAUGCAAGUCGAGCGGAUGAUGGGAGCUUGCUCCUUGAUUCAGCGGCGGACGGGUGAGUAAUGCCUAGGAAUCUGCCUGGUAGUGGGGGACAACGUUUCGAAAGGAACGCUAAUACCGCAUACGUCCUACGGGAGAAAGCAGGGGACCUUCGGGCCUUGCGCUAUCAGAUGAGCCUAGGUCGGAUUAGCUAGUUGGUGGGGUAAUGGCUCACCAAGGCGACGAUCCGUAACUGGUCUGAGAGGAUGAUCAGUCACACUGGAACUGAGACACGGUCCAGACUCCUACGGGAGGCAGCAGUGGGGAAUAUUGGACAAUGGGCGAAAGCCUGAUCCAGCCAUGCCGCGUGUGUGAAGAAGGUCUUCGGAUUGUAAAGCACUUUAAGUUGGGAGGAAGGGCAGUAAGCUAAUACCUUGCUGUUUUGACGUUACCGACAGAAUAAGCACCGGCUAACUCUGUGCCAGCCGCCGCGGUAAGAC
rnacentral:rRNA from 1 species